UAGAUUUUGAAGUGUCAUUGAAUGUGGAUCGAGUUAAUACAUUAUCAGAAAUGGAUGCUGAACUAGAAAGACAAUUAGAAAGUUCAACGAAUCUGAAGAUGGUUUUAAGAAGACAAAGGAAUGAGAUGAUGAAAGAAAUGCUUGCAG